CAAACUUAUCAUUCAAAUCCAAAAUUAUCAUCAUUGUUUUCAUUAGAGGCUUCACCAACAUCAUUUGGUUCAUCUUGCAUAGGUGUCGCACAAGCAAAGUUUGGAGGCAAUGGCAUAUUCAACUUUUCAAAUAAAGUUGCAAGCAUGCUUUCAUUUGACUCAAUUCUUUUUUGUUGCUGCUCUAAUUUUUGUUUUUGCUCUUGGUUUAUACGUUCUUGCUCUUUUACCUUUUCUUUCCAUUUUAAGAGCUCUUGUUCCAUGUUUUUUUCCUUAAAGGCAUUCGAGCAUGAACCAAUAGUAUACUUCGAAGUAUUUGUUCCUAUAGAACCUAAACCAUAUAAUUUUCCUUUUUUACCUUUAGGAGCUACUUCCUUCCAAAUAGUCAAGUCAUCUGGCAUAUUAUUAUGGCUUUCGGAAGACAAUCCUUCUUCCUCUUGAUUUUGAGACAUAGAUAUUUCCAAAAGCUCUGCUUUUCUCUUCUUAAAAGCUCCCUGCAAUUUUGAAUUAUGUUAGUCAUUUAACUAACAACCAAUUAAAAUCUGUAAUUUUAGUAAAAUCAUAGAUAAAUCUGGUUUUGGUUCGGCUAGUUGCCGUGCGCAGGCUGCUUUGUUAGCAGGUCUGUUUGAUACCAGGUGUGGUGGCCAGCUUUCUGCCUUUCUCAGCUCUAUUAUCAUAACUAAAUUAUAGAUAAAUAUGUAAUGUUAAAGAGCUACUUACAUAGGCAUGCUCAGCUCUACUAUCAACCCAUUUCUUAUCCUUUCUGAUAUGGCAAAUAGCAAAUACCUCCUCCACUGGAGGCUUGACUCCUGUUUCAUUCUCCUACAUUUUUUCCAUAACUUGAAUGAGAAAAUUUCCAAUAUGUUUUUCAUAAAUUAGUGAGAAAAUAUCAUGUGUCUUACCAUCCUACGUUCCUUCUCACCCAUAGAUAUAGAACCAGCAGUAUGAAUGGAGCUACCUUGAGUUGAAGCACGAUUUGCAGUGUUUGCCACUGAUAAAUUCUUAAAAUUUUUAUCGGAUGCCCAAUAAUGUAUUAAUUGAUUCCAUACUGGCUCAGGGAUGUACUUUGGCCUGUAUUCAGAAUUUUUUGCAUAAUUUUUUCUCUCUUGAAACAUCAUACCUCUGAAUCUAGCUUCUCCCUUGAUUUCAAAAAUUUGUCGAAUCUUAGCAUCAUAUUUAGGAUGCCAUUUACAAUACUUCUACAAAAUUGCACCCAAUUAACAUGUUAGAAAUUCAAAAAUUUCAAGAGUCUUUAAUUGUUUAGUAAAUUACAUCUAACCAAUGAAAAAAACACUUAGAUAAAGUACUUUGUGCUGUUCUACACUAAUAUUCAUCUUAACUACAUAAAUAUGAUAAAGCGUUGUAGCUAAGUAUUCUUCUUAAAGAAAUAUAUUACUAAUUAUAUAACUAUUACCUUAAAUUCAGUAAACCAUAACAACUUCUGGUCAAGAGAUGCAUGUCCCCAUGUAGAACAAAAACAAUCCAAUUUGCUCUUAAUGGAUUUCGUCAAGAAACAAAUAGCAGAUGAUGGAUUGAACCUGUUAAUACAAAUUGUUAAUAUACAUGCAUAAAUUAUUUUCUACAAACAAAAAAAAAAUUAAUUUCUCAGAAGUAUAAUAUUUAACUUACUCAUUUCCAUACGGCUCUAUUUCUUCAAGGCCUUCUUGCUCAAUUCCUUCAUCAUCAUCAGGUUCAAUGGCAACUGAUUGAGUGUGUGGCAAAGUUUGUUCAGAAUUUUGAGGUAUGGUAGUUGAUGUGUUCGGAGUUGGAUUUUGAGGUAUAGUAGCUGAUGGGGUCGGAGUAAGUGUUGGGGUUUGAGUUGGUGAUGGUGAUGUUGAUGGUAUAGUGUUUAUGUGUUGUGAUAGCGUAAGUUGUGCAGGUGAUAAUGAUUGAUUUAAUGGAGAUGGUAUAAUAGGUGUAACUUGAACAGCAAUUCUCCCUCUACCAGUUGAGUAUCGGCCUCGAGAGGAUAAAGUCCUUCCACCUCUAUUACUACCUCUUCCAGACAUCUAAAACAACAAUUUGAUUAACUCUAAAGCAAAACAGACCCAACAAACCAAGACAAUUAGACUUGCACUAACAAUAAAACCACACCGGAAAAACAAUUGGCAUAAUGUACACUAGCGUCCAGAUGGGCACUCCCGUGCCCGUCUGUCCGCUUUUUCUACUGCGCUAACGCAUAUAUUCUUCACCUUGUUUUUUUUAUAUAAAAUAAAUUAAUAUAUAGUUUGUCGUUCACAAAUAUAAGAACUAAAAACCCGAUGAAUAGCAUAACAUAUGUAUACAAUAUAUUUACUCUUCUUUGUAUAAUUUAAUUUUUACAUAAAUAUGUAUAAUAGUUAAAAUGUAAUCCAAUUUACCUACUAUUAACUACUUCUAUAUACAAUUAAACUUUAGUUGUAUAUGUUGUCCAUUGUUUCCGUCCUCUAACAUUUAUAAGUUACAACCUCUCUAUACUGUGUCUGUCUUCUUAGGGAGGUGAAUGUAGUUUAACCUUUAUUCAAAGAGGGAAGUGUAGUUUACUCUAACUUUUAAAAAGAAGUACUUAAAUUGUGUUCUAAAAUUGAAGUACUUACUACAUGUAUAAAUGAUGCAACACAAUUUAUAGGCCACAACAUAUUUUAACAACUUUACAUUUUUAAAGAUGGUUCAACCCAAUCCAAGCAUUCAAAUUUUAAUCAUUCAUCAAACAUGUAUAAAAAAAAACUUUCGUCUUUCCAUCUAAUUUUCUUUUGAAAUAAUUCCCAACAAACACUGAGUAAGUUUCUUAUUGUGUAGUCCUUCAUCCAACCAUAAUCUCAUCCACAAUGGUGAAUCGGAACUAAUAUAUGUUUCAUCAUUCCACUUUUUUAUGCAAAUCUUUCCUACCGUAUGUUGGAACCUCAUUUUCUCGGGUUUUUAUCUUCUCUGAUUUUGAAGGUGCAGAUUGCUUUUGCCUAUACUAAAAGUUAGUGAUGCAAUGAAAGUGGCAUAGAAAAAAUUAAAACAAUAAAAAGAUCACAAUCAGUUUUUUUUGUGGGAAAGAAGAUCACAAACAUUUUAGUUCUAAAAUAGCUACGCCUGAAAACGUACCAUAAAGUCAAAACACGAUCCAAAAUUUCUUAUGAAUAAGACCACAUAACUAUAAGGGACAAUUUUUAUUUCAUUAAUCCUGCCGGCAGAAAAAACAGAAAAACAUUACUAAUUUUACUCUCCUUAAUGAAUAGCUGCAAAAUCCAGUAUGAGAAUAGACGGGAAAUGAGGACAUGGACCCCUUGGUCAAUUUGACACUCCAUGGUUUAUGUGAAAUACUUUUCAUGGCCACAUUUUUGAAACCCCAAUUUCGUAGCCAUGCAUCUUAAGAAAAUUAAGGAUAGAAAAGUGAGCAAAAAGCUAAUUAAGAAACAUGUUAUGAGCACUAACUGUUUAAGGUGGAAGACAAAAGUCAACAACAUCAUUUCAUUGCUCAAAAGAAACAACAUUUCUCUAGGAAUUCCAAUCAUCGGUCACCAAAUCCUUUCUGAAGUGUGUCGUUCAUAAAAACCCGACCUGCUAGCACUGAAGUUGUAUUUUACCUGUUGCACGUUACCCUAGAAAAAGAAUGUGGCACGAUGUCCCUGGUUCCCUAUCUCACUAUCCAGGCCACUCCUCCCCUACAAUAAUGAAGGCAAAAAUUGAAGAACAAAUUUUUGUUGAGAACAUAAUAGGAAAGAAAUGAAGGAUAUAAUAGAAACAAUGGAUAAAUAUAAAAUCACUAAAGAAUUGUUUAUUGCACUGAAACUGAAAUCAAAAGAAAAAUGCAUGCACCAUGGAACAUUCAGGAAAUCGCUAUUGGUGGGUUAUUUCUUCAUGACAGGAGAACAAUAUUAAAUAUGUGCUUAUAAAUUACUGUAAUUAGCAAUAUAAGAGAUGUCCAUUUGAGUUAGCAACAUGAUCAUAAGAAAGGAUCAAGUAUUCCAUUGAAUUUAAACAUGACAUACCAAAAAGUGAUGGAGAAGUUAGAAGCAAACAGUGUCAUUGAGGGGCCUUUCUCUGAACAAUUGUUUAAUAAAUUGUGUAGAACUAAACCAUUCAAUUGUGAAAAAUAGAAUGGAAGCAGUUGUUUUUUUAUGAUUGUUUCUGCAACUGUGAGAAAGAGAAAGGUAGCAAUUAUGUAUUUGUGAGUGUGAUUAGUGGGUAAGCCAGAUUUUUUUCAAAGAAAAAUACAGCAGUUAUGUUUUGGUGUGUGAUUAGUGGGUAAAGCAGAUUUUUUUUUUAAUAACUGCCAUCAAGUAAGGGCAUUUUGGGAUUUACAAAAAAAGGUUACACCAAAAAAUUGUAUUGCCUUUAUUAAUAGGUAAAGAUAUCAAGGCUGAACAUAGUAAAAUAUCAAGGCAGAACAUAGUAAAAAAAUUAUUAGAAAUAUUAACAUAAACAAAUUCAUUCCUUAUUAUCACUUUGAUCCCUAAACCCUUCAUCAUUGUCUCGCUCACCAACCACUAUCCAUUAUCUCUUCUUCUUCUUCUUCUUCUUCUUCCUCCGCCUCCUCCUCCUCAUCAUCAUCAUCAUCCUUGUCCAUGGAAUCAUUAACUAUCAACUCAUGGUCAUCAACCUCAUCAAAUCUUCCCUCAACAUCUAGUAAAGUCACAGGCAAAUCUUCUCUCAACAUCUAGUAAAAGAGCAAAUUACAAAAAAAAGGAGGGGGAUUGGGCCAAAACCUCCAUGCUAAUACACAAACCUAUAAUUAGGCAAGCCUAAUUUGUUUUUAAUAAAGAUAGAUUUGAUACAAUAAGGAAGUUCCAACCAAAUAGUCAAGCAAUUUAAAAUCAAUCCUAUGUUAGCAAGCAAGUCUGCACAUUCAUUUCCUUCCCUGAAUAUAUGAGACACAAUAAAAUUCAUGUUACUGGUUGAAAGAAUGCAAUUUUCCCAUCUGUUUCUUAAUUUCCAAGGAACUUGAGAAAUGUUUUUGAAAGCAUUGACAACAAGUACAUAAUCUGAUUCCAGCCACAAACUCUGCCAGUUAUGAAGCUUAGCCAACUCAAUAGCCCUCAUUGCACCAGACAACUCAGCAAAAUAAGCACUUUCAUGUCCAGUGUUUUCUGCAAAGCACAACAAAAAAUAUGCAUUCCUAUAUUUGAAUAUCCCACCACAAGAGGAAGUGUUAGUGUUGGAAGAACCAUCUGUAUUGCAUUUAAUCCAAUGCAAGGGAGGAGGAUUCCACAAAACUUCUAUAAUCUUUGGGGCUUUAGGAGGGUGAAUAUCAAUGUUGAAUUUCUUAAGAAACACAAAAUCAGUGAUGUUUGUAGUCACAAGCAUAAGUGUAAUUUGUUGGAACAAAAUGUGUUUCACAAAAAACAUUAAUGAGUUUUGAUGAUAACAAGGUGUUCAAAAUUGUCAAUUGGUUAUUGCUAAUAAUUGUUCAAGUGUACAGGACCAUAGGGAAAGUCAAUCAAUUUAAAUAGGUAUUGGAAGAACAAUGGAGAGCAAAGGAAUCCAAAGCAUCUGAAGAAAACCGCGUCUGAAGCUAAAGUGCUUAUGAAGUAACAAGUGCCUCUAAAGUGAUGAUGUCAUUAGAAGCAGAAGUUCAUCAGAAGCUCUAUCAUCACCAGAAGCUACAAGUGAUCAGUAAAUUUAAACUGACGAUUCAAAGGAGCUGUUUUUCGUUUCAACCUCGUCUAAGAGAACGAAGAAUUGAAAGUGAGGUAUCAACGAUCAUUUGAAGAGCACUGGGUACCUGUCCUUCGUUAUCAGAGUUGACAAAGUACAAGUGUACAACCACUACCUCCACUACUCUGUUUUUGUCUACGCUACAAGACAAGACAACAGCUAUGCCUGCAGAAAUGUUCCUUCAAGAUGGGAAUGAAUUUGAAGUUNAUGAUCAUCGAUUUUAAAAUCACUAUCUUCAGUCUGAUUACUAGCAACCAACACUACUAAAAAAAGGUCAUUUUCAGACGAAAUUUCGUACGAUUUUGGGACGGGAUUUACAGAACUUUCCCACGGAAUUCGGACGGAAAUGCAUUUUCGGACGGAAUUCGGACAGAUUGGGCGUUAUCCGAAAAAGCCGCGUCGCAAAUCGUAUUUUCGUCCCAAAUUCCGUCCGAAAUAUAUUUCAGACGGAUUUCGUACGGUUUUCACACAAACACAGUUGUGGGAUAUUGGACUAAAUUUCAAACGGAUUUCGGACGGAAUUUAAUUUAAUUUCGGACAAACUGAAUUUAAUUUCCUACGGAUUUCAGACGGAAUUGAAUUUAAUUUCCUACGAUUUUCAGACGGAAUUUAAUUUAAUUUCCUACGAUUUUCAGACGGAAUUGAGUUAUAAUUUCCUACGGUUUUUAGACGGAUUCUAGAUAAAUUUUCAAACGAUUUUCGGACGGAUUUAAAUUGCUUUAAAAUAUUUUCCACGAUUUUCAAUCGUGGUUAUAAAUUCUUUUUUAUUUUACAAAAUUGCCACAAUUCAUAUUUUUUAAUGAGUUUGGGAUAUAUUCCAUUAUGUAAAAUUGAUAUUCAAUAAUACAUACUAAUCAAAUAAAAAUAAAUAAUAAUUCAAGAGUAAACAAAUGCUCAUUGUCUGAAACAAAAUUAUAUAAACUAGAGUUAUAUAAGUGCUCAAUGUUCUAACACAGUAUUUCACAAACUAACAUGACUGAAUUGUUCGUUAGUUAGUACUCAACAAUAAAAGUAACACAAUGAAGUGCACUAGCAAGGAUAGGGGAGAAAACAUAACUCCAACCAAAAGGAAAUAGCCAAAAAAAACAAGGUAAACAGGUUUAGAAACAUAACUCCAACCAAAAGGAACUCCCAUGACAAAGCCAAAUACAAGACAGCAGCAGUCAAACACAUAAUUCAUCAAAAAAAAAAAAAAGAGAAACUUGCAGCAACAACCACAAAACAGUUGAACAACAGAAAAUCAGUUGGGCCAAACUUAUCAUUCAAAUCCAAAAUUAUCAUCAUUGUUUUCAUUAGAGGCUUCACCAACAUCAUUUGGUUCAUCUUGCAUAGGUGUCGCACAAGCAAAGUUUGGAGGCAAUGGCAUAUUCAACUUUUCAAAUAAAGUUGCAAGCAUGCUUUCAUUUGACUCAAUUCUUUUUUGUUGCUGCUCCAAUUUUUGUUUUUGCUCUUGGUUUAUACGUUCUUGCUCUUUUACCUU
rnacentral:lncRNA from 1 species